rnacentral:rRNA from 1 species
UUCCAGACUCCUACGGGAGGCAGCAGUGGGGAAUAUUGCACAAUGGGGGAAACCCUGAUGCAGCGACGCCGCGUGAGUGAAGAAGUAUUUCGGUAUGUAAAGCUCUAUCAGCAGGGAAGAAAUAGCGACCUUUGGGUCGCCAGACGGUACCUGAUUAAGAAGCCCCGGCUAACUACGUGCCAGCAGCCGCGGUAAUACGUAGGGGGCAGGCGUUAUCCGGAUUUACUGGGUGUAAAGGGAGCGUAGACGGUGCAGCAAGUCUGAUGUGAAAGGUCGGGGCCCAACCCCGGGACUGCAUUGGAAACUGUUGAACUGGAGUACGGGAGAGGUAAGCGGAAUUCCUAGUGUAGCGGUGAAAUGCGUAGAUAUUAGGAGGAACACCAGUGGCGAAGGCGGCUUACUGGACUGUAACUGACGUUGAGGCUCGAAAGCGUGGGGAGCAAACAGGAUUAGAUACCCCUGUA